rnacentral:lncRNA from 1 species
UGAGAUUUCACAGUAUAAAUGUGGGAUUUUUUUCAUUACCUUGUAAAGUUAAGUUUAAAUGAAAAUGUUUCCUUAGAAGAGAGUUCAUUGCUGUAUAUUAGAUUUUAGCUGCCGCUUUUGUGUUUAAUUGGGAAAUGACGACCAACUAUAUUACUACUUGUUACCAGUUUUUUUCUAAUCUGAUGUUAUUGGCUUAUCAUUCCUACUUCUGUGUUUUUCAUUUAUCUUGAAAAAGGUAUUGGUAGUCUUAAACACAUUCAUUGUAAGUUAGGCUUGUUUUUAUAACAACCCAUCUGUCCUAAAAUUCUCAUUAAUAUCUGUUAUAUCACACAAUAUUUUGGUUUUGGGCAUGUGUGAAAUACUGACAUGAAGCAAAUAUUGAGUAACAUAGUUGAAAGACUAUGAACUAAUUAUUUAAAAGCAAGUAUUUAGUUGUAGAAAGUGGAUUCUUCAGGAGAGCAUGAUUUGGGCCAGGUCGGGAAUUGCUUUGGUGAAUGUGUCGUGAAGAGAAAAGUAACGGUACUUUUCACAGGUCUUGCCAGUGGUAGUCAUUAGUGGAAGUAUUCCACGUUUCACCUGAGGCCCAAGAAGUGUUAUAUUAUCUGCUGAGAGAUUUUAGUGGCAUACCUGCCUGUUACUGAUCAUGGAUUU